rnacentral:rRNA from 1 species
ACUCAAAGGAAUUGACGGGGGCCCGCACAAGCGGUGGAUGAUGUGGAUUAAUUCGAUGCAACGCGAAAAACCUUACCUACGCUUGACAUGUCCGAGAUCCCGAAGAGAUUUGGGAGUGCUCGAAAGAGAAUCGGAACACAGGUGCUGCAUGGCUGUCGUCAGCUCGUGUCGUGAGAUGUUGGGUUAAGUCCCGCAACGAGCGCAACCCUUGUCAUUAGUUGCUACAUUAAGUUGGGCACUCUAAUGAGACUGCCGGUGACAAACCGGAGGAAGGUGGGGAUGACGUCAAGUCCUCAUGGCCCUUAUGCGUAGGGCUUCACACGUCAUACAAUGGUCGGUACAGAGGGUCGCCAACCCGCGAGGGGGAGCCAAUCUCAGAAAGCCGAUCGUAGUCCGGAUCGCAGUCUGCAACUCGACUGCGUGAAGUCGGAAUCGCUAGUAAUCGCGGAUCAGCAUGUCGCGGUGAAUACGUUCCCGGGCCUUGCACACACCGCCCGU